UGCGUUAUCAAAAUAAGAUUAUGAAAAUUACAAUGAACAAUACUUGGUGGUGGAAGAAUUUACGUCAGACGUCGUGAACAAAGCUUCCUAUGGUAUUUUAAACUAUAAAUAAAAAAAGGCUUGUC
rfam:Flavobacterium sp. LM4 Flavobacterium_sp_LM4_contig1, whole genome shotgun sequence.